rnacentral:rRNA from 1 species
AAUAGAUACCCAGGUAGUCCACGCCGUAAACGAUGAGUGCUAAGUGUUAGGGGGUUUCCGCCCCUUAGUGCUGCAGCUAACGCAUUAAGCACUCCGCCUGGGGAGUACGGUCGCAAGACUGAAACUCAAAGGAAUUGACGGGGGCCCGCACAAGCGGUGGAGCAUGUGGUUUAAUUCGAAGCAACGCGAAGAACCUUACCAGGUCUUGACAUCCCAUUGACCGCUAUGGAGACAUAGCUUUCCCUUCGGGGACAGUGGUGACAGGUGGUGCAUGGUUGUCGUCAGCUCGUGUCGUGAGAUGUUGGGUUAAGUCCCGCAACGAGCGCAACCCUUGUUCUUAGUUGCCAUCAUUUAGUUGGGCACUCUAAGGAAACUGCCGGUGACAAACCGGAGGAAGGUGGGGAUGACGUCAAAUCAUCAUGCCCCUUAUGACCUGGGCUACACACGUGCUACAAUGGACGGUACAAACGGUUGCCAACCCGCGAGGGGAGCUAAUCCGAUAAAACCGUUCUCAGUUCGGAUUGUAGGCUGCAACUCGCCUAC